rnacentral:rRNA from 1 species
CCUACGGGAGGCAGCAGUAGGGAAUAUUGCUCAAUGGGGGAAACCCUGAAGCAGCAACGCCGCGUGGAGGAUGAAGGUUUUCGGAUUGUAAACUCCUUUCGUUAGAGAAGAUAAUGACGGUAUCUAACGAAUAAGCAACGGCUAACGCCGUGCCAGCAGCCGCGGUCAUACGGAGGGUGCAAGCGUUACUCGGAAUCACUGGGCGUAAAGAGCGCGUAGGCGGGAUAGCAAGUCAGAUGUGAAAUCCUAUGGCUUAACCAUAGAACUGCAUUUGAAACUGUUAUUCUAGAGUAUGGGAGAGGUAUGUGGAAUGCUUGGUGUAGGGGUGAAAUGCGUAGAGAUCAAGAGGAAUACUCAUUGCGAAGGCGACCUGCUAGAACAUAACUGACGCUGAUGCACGAAAGCGUGGGGAGCGAACAGGAUUAGAUACCCGGGUAGUC